CCUACGGGAGGCUGCAGUGAGGAAUAUUGGUCAAUGGACGGAAGUCUGAACCAGCCAUGCCGCGUGCAGGAAGACGGCUCUAUGAGUUGUAAACUGCUUUUGUACAAGGGUAAACCUGAAUACGUGUAUUCAGCUGAAAGUACUGUACGAAUAAGGAUCGGCUAACUCCGUGCCAGCAGCCGCGGUAAUACGGAGGAGCCAAGCGUUAUCCGGAUUUAUUGGGGUUAAAGGGUGCGUAGGCGGCUUGAUAAGUUAGAGGUGAAAUGUCCGCGCUUAACUCGGGAACUUCCUCUAAUACUGUUGAUCUAGUGCGUAUAUGCGGUAGGCGGAAUGUCUGGUGUAGCGG
rnacentral:rRNA from 1 species